rnacentral:lncRNA from 10 species
GGAGGAGUGCUUGAACCUGGGAUGUUGAGGCUGCAGUGAGCUGUGAUCGCGCCACUGCACUCCAAUCUGGGUGACAAAGUGAGACCCUGUCUCAAAUAUAAAUAAUUUUUUUAAAACCACGAAUAUUUACUGAGAGCCUACUUUUGCCUGGUCCAGUUCUAGUUACUGGUAGUUCCUUAGGAGUGGACAAAAUAGAUAAAAACUCCCACCCUAAUGGUGCUUACAUACUACUGGGGGAUAAUAAAAUUAAUAAGUAAAAUAUGUAGAUUGUGAUCAUCAUUAUGGAGAAAAAUUAAAGAGGGAAGGAAAAGGGUAAUAAAGAGGGAAGGAAAAGGGUAAUAGAGAGGGUUGUUGUUUUAAAUAUUAGGAAUGAAACCAGGCACAGUG